rnacentral:rRNA from 1 species
UGGGGAAUAUUGCACAAUGGGCGCAAGCCUGAUGCAGCCAUGCCGCGUGUAUGAAGAAGGCCUUCGGGUUGUAAAGUACUUUCAGCGAGGAGGAAGGCGUUGUGGUUAAUAACCGCAGCGAUUGACGUUACUCGCAGAAGAAGCACCGGCUAACUCCGUGCCAGCAGCCGCGGUAAUACGGAGGGUGCAAGCGGUAAUCGGAAUUACUGGGUGUAAAGCGCACGCAGGCGGUCUGUCAAGUCGGAUGUGAAAUCCCCGGGCUCAACCUGGGAACUGCAUCCGAAACUGGCAGGCUAGAGUCUUGUAGAGGGGGGUAGAAUUCCAGGUGUAGCGGUGAAAUGCGUAG